GUGACCGUGGACAGGCCUCACCUCCCAGUCUGUGACCGUGGACAGGCCUCGGUUUCCCCGCUGCCCAGCGAGUGAAGGCAUCCGAUGGAUUGCUGCAAGGGCUACAGGAGUUAAAACGCAGGAAGCACUCUGCACAGGGCGGUGCUCAGGAUCUUCAGCUUCACGCUGAAUCCGAAACCCACAGCUGCGGCCACACCUCGGAUCCAGUCAUCAGGGGAGUGGAUGCCACUGCGCAGGUUGGGCUGGUUCCUCCUUCUGCGUCUUGGUUCUACAGCUCCCGAGUUCAGCUCCCUCGUGUUAGCUUUCUCGCCGUUAGCAUGAAACACCUGAGAGAACACACUGAAGCCCUAGCCGGUGUGGCUCAGUGGAUAGAGCGUCGGCCUGCGGACUGAAGGGUCCAGGGUUCGAUUCCGGUCUAGAGCACGUGCCUGGGUUGCGGGCUCCAUCCCCAGUGGAGUGCAUGCAGGAGGCAGCCGAUUAAUGAUUCUCAUUAAUGUUUCUAUCUCUCUCUCCCUUCCUUUCUGAAAUCAAUAAAAAUAUAUUUAAAAAAAAAAACCCAAACAAAACAAAACACACUGAAAUGACAACCUCAGCAGUGAGUCGGAGGCGGCCGCUCGCAGACGGCAAAGCCUUGGUGACCUACUAGCCCCCGUUCGCCGAACAGAACUGCACGUGUGUCAUCAGUUCAACAUACGUCUCAGGGUGAGGCCGUGCCGACCACACUGCGAUCUACGCAGUCGAGUGAGUUUGAGAUGAAAUAGGAACUUAAGUCAGGUUGAAACUGGAUUUCCAAGCCAGACACCAGGAAAAACCCAGCUCAUCACAACUAAGCUAAGGACACGAGGACUCCGCUGCAAACAUUUCACUGAAGAGAAUAGAUACGCGGAAGCACAGGCCACGGUGCAACUGGGAAACGCUCACAGACGGAACGCAGCCACGUAACUGGCACCCCGAUCGGGGACCAGCACGCGACCAGCACCCCAAAGGCCCCGCAUUACGGGGAGGCCACUGGUGACCCCCAUCCUGACGUCUCCCCGCAGCUUCACGGCUCUCACGGUAAAGUCGGGAAGCUUCCCAGUGUUGUCAGCGGUCGCUCGCUGUGUUUCAUCUCGCUCGGUGACUGUCGAGAGCAGAGCUCAGGUGAGACACGCCGCUCUGCGCAGAGGUUAAACCCAGGUGAGGAGUCCAGCUCCUCCUCCCUCUGACCUCUGGGAGCCCGGCCAGGGGCCUGGCCUGGUGACCUUGCCUAGGAGGGCCGGCCCUGGCUGCAGCCUGGAGUGGCCGGCUGGCUCCAGAACCCCCUCCCCGGGAUUUGGACCCCCUCCCCGGGAUUUGGACCCCCUCCCCCCGGGAGCCCGGACACUCGCUCUGUUAACUCUGACACACGAAUGCAGAGGCAGGUGCUCAUCUCAGUUGACUCUCAUCUGAAAGAACUCGAUUCAGUGACAAAGCAGAUUCAGUGACAAGCAGGCUCCUGCCUGGAGCCCGUAGGUCCAGAGAGCCAGGCAGGUGAGAACAAUGUUCCUUCUGUGGACGGCGCCCGGUGGCCGGCCCUGCCUGGGCUGAUGGGGCAGCACUCGCUGCGCUGGAGGACGGCUCAGGCAGGGGU